AAGUCGUAACAAGGUUUCCGUAGGUGAACCUGCGGAAGGAUCAUUAACACGUAUCCAACGUUAAACCCCCUGUGAACCUUCAUUGUACGAGUUACAUCCACGUCAUAAACCGGCAAUCUCUGGUAAAUCAUCGCCGAACAGUUUUGAUUCAGAGACCUCUGGGAAGGGUGUACGGUAGUGCGAGGCAAUUGACCUGGCAUUCCUCUGCUUGUUAGUGUCUGAAAGUGUCACUAGCUAUGUACGGAUGGCGCAGUAACGAUCGCUGGAGGCCGACACGGCCGGCGACAGGUCCACAACCUUUUCAUGAAAACGGGCCUGCGCUGAGGUGCGGCCCCUAAUGCUUGAACAACUGUUAACAAUGGAUAUCUUGGUUC
rnacentral:misc_RNA from 1 species